rnacentral:rRNA from 1 species
GACGAACGCUGGCGGCGUGCCUAAUACAUGCAAGUAGAACGCUGAAGGAGGAGCUUGCUUCUCUGGCUGAGUUGCGAACGGGUGAGUAACGCGUAGGUAACCUGCCUGGUAGCUGGGGGUAACUAUUGGAAACGAUAGCUACUCCCGCAUAAUAGCAGUUGUUGCAUGACAACUGUUUGAACUGUGCAAUUGCACCACUACCAGAUGGACCUGCGUUGUAUUAGCUAGUUGGGGGGGUAACGGCUCACCAAGGCGACGAUACAUAGCCGACCUGAGAGGGUGAUCGGCCACACCGGGACUGAGACACGGCCCAGACUCCUACGGGAGGGAGCAGUAGGGAAACUUCGGCAAUGGACGGAAGUCUGACCGAGCAACGCCGCGGGAGUGAAGAAGGUUUUCGGAUCGUAAAGCUCUGUUGUAAGAGAAGAACGAGUGUGAGAGUGGAAAGUUCACACUGUGACGGUACCUUACCAGAAAGGGACGGCUAACUACGUG